GAUGAACGCUGGCGGCGUGCCUAACACAUGCAAGUCGAACGGAAAGGCCCUGCUCUUGUGGGUUGCUCGAGAGGCGAACGGGUGAGAAACACGUGAGUAACCUGCCCCUGUCUUUCGGAUAACAUUAGGAAACUGGGGAUAAUACCGGAUAGGAGCUCCUGCUGCAUGUUGGGGGUUGGAGAGUUUCGGCGGUUGGGGAUGGACUCGCGGCUUAUCAGCUUGUUGGUGGGGUAGUGGCUUACCAAGGCUUUGACGGGUAGCCGGCCUGAGAGGGUGACCGGCCACAUUGGGACUGAGAUACGGCCCAGACUCCUACGGGAGGCAGCAGUGGGGAAUAUUGCACAAUGGGCGGAAGCCUGAUGCAGCAACGCCGCGUGCGGGAUGACGGCCUUCGGGUUGUAAACCGCUUUCGCCUGUGACGAAGCGUGAGUGACGGUAAUGGGUAAAGAAGCACCGGCUAACUACGUG
rnacentral:rRNA from 1 species